GCUUCUUAAACAAAGGGCAGAAAAAGUAAAAUGUUAAACUGCAAAGGCAAGAGAGGGGUAAAUAUCCAUCUUUGUAGAUGUUUGUAGAAUCCAUCACCUACUGUACAGCUUAUUAAGGUAUCGUCAGACCAUAUUUCACCAGAGGAACAGUACUCACUACUCACAAUUUUAUCUUUUCAUAUCAUACAUGUAGCCGAGCUAAAUUUAAUUUGAUUUUGUUUUAUUUUUUUUAUAAUUGUUCAUACCUUUUUUAUUGUGAACUCCACCAAAUAUUGGUUCCUAGUUGUAAGUUGAUUUCGUUGUUCCGUAUGGCAUGCCUUUUGUUUCCCUGGGGAGUGGUUUGCCGUUGCACCUGUGUGUCUAGCGUCAGUGAGCGCUGAUGCACGGAGCUGAGUGGAGAGUGAUAUCCCGGAUUGUGUGUGACGCCCGUGUUGUUUUGUCUCCUUUGAAAAGGUAUGCCUGUUAUGUGUCUUUAUGGUAAAAUAUGUAAAAUGAGUGUGAGGAAACUGACAAUUCUCUAUUAUAUUUUAUUUCCUUUAUUAGUGUAUAUAUUUAAUAUACUGUCUUUUUAUUUAAUUUAUUUAUUUGAGAUCAUUUUAUGCUUUGUUUACAUUUUUAUAAUUUAUUCCCUACAUGUAUUCAUUGAAAGUCACAGGAUAUAUUAAGCUAGCGUCAGUGAGCGCUGAUGCACGGAGCUGAGUGGAGAGUGAUAUCCCGGAUUGUGUGUGACGCCCGUGUUGUUUUGUCUCCUUUGAAAAGAAUAAACCUCCAGUACUCGACUCCUGUGUGUGCCUCACUCAAAGAUACAAGACACAACGCAGAAAGACAUCGGUUAUUUAGUGGAGAGUGAUAUCCCGGAUUGUGUGUGACGCCCGUGUUGUUUUGUCUCCUUUGGAAAGGUAUGCCUGUUAUGUGUCUUUGUUUAUGGUAAAAUAUGUAAAAUGAGUGUGAGGAAACUGACAAUUCUCUAUUAUAUUUUAUUUCCUUUAUUAGUGUAUAUAUUUAAUAUACUGUCUUUUUUAUUUAAUUUAUUUAUUUGAGAUCAUUUUAUGCUUUGUUUACAUUUUUAUAAUUUAUUCCCUACAUGUAUUCAUUGAAAGUCACAGGAUAUAUUAAGCUAGAGUGAGUGAGCGCUGAUGCACGGAGCUGAGUGGAGAGUGAUAUCCCGGAUUGUGUGUGACGCCCGUGUUGUUUUGUCUCCUUUGGAAAGAAUAAACCUCCAGUACUCGA